GGGGGUAUAGCUCAGUGGUAGAGCAUGUGUCUGGCAUGUACAAGGUCCUGGGUUCAAUCCCCAGUGCCUCCA
rfam:Camelus ferus unplaced genomic scaffold scaffold369, whole genome shotgun sequence.